rnacentral:rRNA from 1 species
CAAUAGCGUAUAUUAAAGCUGUUGCGGUUAAAAAGCUCGUAGUUGGAUUUCUGUCAAGGACAACUGGUCCGCCCCUCGGGUGAGCACAUAGUUUGGUCUUGGCAUCUUGUUGGAAACUGUUGCUGCACUUGGUUGUGUGGCGCAGUGUCCAGCACUUUCACUUUGAGGAAAUUGAAGUGUUUCAAGCAGGCACAUGCCUUUGGACACAGUAGCAUGGAAUAAUUAGAUUGGGCUUUUGCUCCAACUUGUCGGUUUCUGGAGCUGAGGUGAGAAUUAAUGGGGAUUGUUGGGGGCAUCCGAAUUUAGCCGUCAGAGGUGAAAUUCUUGGAUCUGCUAAAGACGGACAACUGCGAAAGCGUUUGCCCAGGAUGUUUUCAUUGA